AUUGAACGCUGGCGGCAGGCCUAACACAUGCAAGUCGAACGGUAACAGGAAGCAGCUUGCUGCUUUGCUGACGAGUGGCGGACGGGUGAGUAAUGUCUGGGAAACUGCCUGAUGGAGGGGGAUAACUACUGGAAACGGUAGCUAAUACCGCAUAACGUCGCAAGACCAAAGAGGGGGACCUUCGGGCCUCUUGCCAUCGGAUGUGCCCAGAUGGGAUUAGCUAGUAGGUGGGGUAACGGCUCACCUAGGCGACGAUCCCUAGCUGGUCGGAGAGGAUGACCAGCCACCCUGGAACUGAGACACGGUCCAGACUCCUACGGGAUGCAGCAGUGGGGAAUAUUGCACAAUGGGCGCAAGCCUGAUGCAGCCAUGCCGCGUGUAUGAAGAAGGCCUUCGGGUUGUAAAGUACUUUCAGCGGGGAGGAAGGGAGUAAAGUUAAUACCUUUGCUCAUUGACGUUACCCGCAGAAGAAGCACCGGCUAACUCCGUG
rnacentral:rRNA from 1 species